rnacentral:misc_RNA from 1 species
GAUGAAGAACGCAGCGAAAUGCGAUAAGUAGUGUGAAUUGCAGAAUUCAGUGAAUCAUCGAAUCUUUGAACGCACAUUGCGCCCCUUGGUAUCCCGAGGGGCAUGCCUGUUCGAGCGUCAUUUCACCACUCAAGCCUGGCUUGGUGUUGGGCGACGUCCCCUUUGGGGACGCGCCUCGAAACGCUCGGCGGCGUGGCACCGGCUUUAAGCGUAGCAGAAUCUUUCGCUUUGGAAGUCGGGGCCCCGUCUGCCGGAAGACCUACUCGCAAGGUUGACCUCGGAUCAGGUAGGAAUACCCGCUGAACUUAAGCAUAUCAAUAAGCGGAGGA